UUUUAUUUCUUUUCAAUUUUAUUUUGACAAAUGACAAAACAGAAUUUGAUGUUAUAGAUACAAUUAUAUCUAGGUCUAAUGUAGAUAUUUUGUCCUUACAUUUUACUGUUAAUUGUUUUAAAAAUGGUGUAAUUUUGAAUAACUAAGUCUUAUAUAUUUAGUUUUAAAAGUAAAACAGUGCUCCUUCAUAGGAUAAACGGAGCCUUUGAUUCAGAACUUUGAAAGCUACAAAAUAUGAAAGAGGAUUUUCCUUUUUUUUCCUAGUCUUUGAGAUCAAAACGGGACGGACAAAUACAUAAAAUAAAUAAAGUUUUUUUUUCCUAUCGGGGUCAGUUAAAAAUGGAACAAAAUCUAUAACAAAUAUAUAAACAAAUAUAUAACAAACAAAAAAAUGAACAAUAAUUUGAUGUCUGGAAUAAAUAGGAGAAAAGGAGAAAAAAAAAAUAACAUGAAAAAAAUGGCAAUGAGAUUUUGAGUGUAAUACAGCUUAUACAUCAAUAAAGUAUCACAUUGUGAGCAAUGAAUAAUGAAAAAUCAAAUCAACAGACCUAACCAUUCAAAAUUGUAUGUUGUCAAACUGGCAAUUUAGAUGAUCCAACGUUCAAUAGAAAGUAGAAAAAAAAAAUAGAAAAUAUAAUAUAAUAAUAUAGCAAAAAAAAUUGGACAGUUUAUUGCAUUGGCUAUUUUUAACCUGGUAAAUGUGCUAGCCCUUGUCAAAUGUUAGCUGUUGUCACAUAUUGCCCGUUGCUUGUUUAUAUUAGGGCGUGACAACUCUGUAACACAAGUCUUGAAGAAAGCGAUGUUGGAACAUUGUUACCAAUACAUAAAAAAGGCAGUUUGGCAGCCAUCACUAAACAACAUCAAAACGAAGUGUGUUAAUUGUAAAAACAACAUCGACUACAUCAACGUAACUUUAGACUUUACAUUUAUUGGUUUUAGCUGCUCAAAGUUUUGUUGACCUGUAUGAAAUUGUAGUGAGUUUUGUAUUCCCACAAACUUACAUAUAUACGCACUAUCUAUCCAAAAGAGAAUGUUUAGCAACGCCAUUCAUUUGACAACUCAUAUAUGUGGCAGUGCAAAAUAAAAUCAUGCCACAAACCAAUGCAUCAUAAUAUACACUAUUGUUUUUGUAUAAUGGACCUCAUUCACCAAUCCUAAACAAACAACAUUUAGCCACAAAAAUAAUUAUAAACAAUUAAUUAAAAACGUAUAUUGAGGAAUUUAAAAGUCAUUGACAAUGAGAAAUUGUGCAAAUAUUCAACUUCAUACCAGAAUAGAAACUUGGAGAAAUAAUGUGUAAAGGAUUCAACCCACACAGACAAAAUAGGUCAUUGAAUAUAGUUUGCAACCUUGCAAAUGCGAACAGGAGUGCACAUUGUGCGAUUAUCAAAAAAGCAAACAAAAAUGCAUAUAAAAUAUAACAUAUAGAUGGAGUAUUAGUUUAAACAUCUACCCUUAAACACAGUCACAGUAUUUUCAAGUUUAUUCAAGUAUUUUCAAGUUUAUUUAAGUAUUUUCAAGUUUAUUCAAGUAUUUUCAAGUUUAUUCAAGUAUUUUCAAGUUUAUUCAAGUA